rnacentral:Y_RNA from 1 species
GGCUGGUCCGAAGGUAGUGAGUUAUCUCAAUUGACAGUCAGUUACAGAUUGAACUCCUGUUCUACUCUUUCCCCCUUUCUCACUAUGGCACUUGACCAAUCUUAA